GAUGAACGCUAGCGGCAGGCUUAACACAUGCCAGUCGAGGGGCAGCAUAAUGGAUAGCAAUAUCUAUGGUGGCGACCGGCGCACGGGUGCGUAACGCGUAUGCAACCUACCUUUAACAGGGGGAUAACACUGAGAAAUUGGUACUAAUACCCCAUAAUAUCAUAGAAGGCAUCUUUUAUGGUUGAAAAUUCCGAUGGUUAGAGAUGGGCAUGCGUUGUAUUAGCUAGUUGGUGGGGUAACGGCUCACCAAGGCGACGAUACAUAGGGGGACUGAGAGGUUAACCCCCCACACUGGUACUGAGACACGGACCAGACUCCUACGGGAGGCAGCAGUGAGGAAUAUUGGUCAAUGGACGCAAGUCUGAACCAGCCAUGCCGCGUGCAGGAUGACGGCUCUAUGAGUUGUAAACUGCUUUUGUACGAGGGUAAACGCAGAUACGUGUAUCUGUCUGAAAGUAUCGUACGAAUAAGGAUCGGCUAACUCCGUG
rnacentral:rRNA from 1 species